rnacentral:lncRNA from 1 species
UCAAAUGAAAAGAGGAGGGCAAAGGGCAUGGCCAACAGUCUCAGUCAAAUGAAAAGAGGUAGAAGAACAUUUUAGAAAACCUGAUCCAUAAGUCUCCUGGGAAACAAAAUAUCAUAUUGUAUUCAAAUCAAGCCCUCUUCCUGUUCUCCACUGAUCAAAAACUCAAUGAGAUGGUCAUAUUGCCGAAGAGUCACUAGGAGUAUCCAAACCCAGCGGCUUGUUGAAGAUUCUCUCAGGUCAUUCAACUAGUCAAACAAGAGUUUUUAGGGAAAUUAAGCACCAUAAAAUAAGAACAAUUCAAAUUCCCAAUGGUUCUGUGGGUGAGAGAGGUCCAGACUGCUCUGCUACAGAGGCUGGCCGGUGGGUGAGAGAGGUCCAGACUGGGCUCUGCUACAGAGGCUUGCCGGUGGGUGAGAGAGGUCCAGACUGCUCUGCGAAGAGGCGGGCCGGUGGGUGAGAGAGGUUCCAGACUGCUCUGCUACGGAGGCUGGCCGGUGGUGAGGGGGGUCCAGACUGCUCGGCUACAGAGGCUGGCCGGUGGGUGAGAGAGGUCCACUGGCUCUGCUACAGAGGCUGUCCGUGGGUGAGAGAGUUCUACCUGCUCUGCACUGAGGCUGGCCGGUG